CAGCAGUCAGCCUUCAGGAAGCAACGCUGGGCAGCCUGUGUCUUUCAGCAGAGGUUUAGAGCUCAGAGACAGAAAACAGUUGAGGUAAAACAUUAUCAGGAGUGUAGGAAAGCUGUCAUCAAACUCAAGACUGCUUUCCGUGGCAUGAAAUCCAGGAGAAUCCUCAAACAAAGGCAUCAUGCUGCCAGUAUUAUCCAGAGAGGUACAGAACAUACAGUGAACACAAGCAGUAUCUGACUUUGAAAUCCUCCGUCAUCACCAUUCAGCGGAGGUAUCGGGCCACUGUAGCCGCAAAGGA